GACGAACGCUGGCGGCGUGCUUAACACAUGCAAGUCGAGCGGUAAGGCCCUUUCGGGGGUACACGAGCGGCGAACGGGUGAGUAACACGUGGGUGACCUGCCCUCAGCUCUGGGAUAAGCCUGGGAAACCGGGUCUAAUACCGGAUAUGACUCCAUGACGCAUGUUGUGGGGUGGAAAGCCUUGUGCGGCUGAGGAUGGGCCCGCGGCCUAUCAGCUUGUUGGUGGGUGAUGGCCUACAAGGCGACGACGGUAGCCGGCCUGAGAGGGCGACCGGCCACACUGGGACUGAGACACGGCCCAGACUCCUACGGGAGGCAGCAGUGGGGAAUCUUGCGCAAUGGGCGAAAGCCUGACGCAGCGACGCC
rnacentral:rRNA from 1 species